ACACGGCCGCGGUGCCGCGGGGAGAGAUGGAGACCUCGCCCUGCCGCCUCGGCGGGCAGCGGUCGAGCACCGCUUUAGCCCUGACGGGGCGGGGGCCUCCCGCCUCAGGCCGGCGGCAGCGGUCCGGCGCGGCGGGCUGCGGCAACGGCCGGCGCCGGGCCCGCGGUGGCGGUGAGGGGGGUCGCGGCACGGCCCGCUCACCAGCUGCACGCCCGAGCAGGGCAGUGCUGGUUGGAGCCGAGCUUUGUAAGCGCGCCCGAAAACUGAGGGGCCGGGUGUGAAGUGAAGGCUUAAAGCAGGCGGUUGAGGGAUUCUGUCAUGAAGUUUCUCUUCUCUGAUCUGCUGUUCAAAAUACUCAGCAACCGUUCUUUCACAUGACCUACUUAAAGUCUGACACAACCAUACAGAGUGCUCAAAGAGGGCAGUAUGUUAUCUCUAUUGGCACAAACAUAUGUCAAAACAGCAGUCUUGAGGACUUGUGUUGAAAGAUGCAUUGUCACUUUAUUGAAGGCAGGGCAGAGACCAAACAUCCUGGACAUCCUGAAGGAAUCAAGAAAAGUAGUUGGGCUAGAAGAGGCAAAGCAGAAGAACCAAGUUUGGGGGCAUAAAAGAACUAGGCAGAAAAGUCUGUGAUUGCUGCAGGAGCUCCUUCAGCAUCAAGAAUGGGAACUAAGAUCCCUCACUUUCUACUUUCAGCAAACAGAUGUGGAACACUUCAGCAAAGCAGUUACUAUGUGGGAAAGCAGCAGUUCUUGGUGGUUAUUCAGAAGCUUUGGUGCUAAAGUGCUUAUUUAGCACACUAAGGAGUGGCUGAGUAAAGAAAAGAAAAUCAGUGGUGACAGGAUACAGUUUUUCUUUCUCCCAGAGUUGCCACAAUGCUUUCUACUGCAUCACUCCAGCUAUCAAAUUGUCUGGAAGAAUCACUUCUGUCAUGAUGCUUACCAAAAUGGUGAAUAAUAUGGGCAAAGACAAAAGAACAGUGAGAACAAUUUAUGAAACCCCUUUUAUUUCUGAUAUUAAGAAGACAUGGAUUCAUCUUCAAAGCUAUUCAUCCUUUUGACCGUGGUACUUCUAAGUUCUUCUUCUUCACUAGACAUCAACAACCUUGUUGUUUUCCUAAUUGUUUGGAGAACAUUAUAAAGCAUUGCCAGAAAUAAAGAGAAAAAAUGGAAUAGUGGAACUGAAAUUGCCUUUGUGAUUCCCACGCCUCUUAAAUAAUUGUAUUCCUAUUUGUCCAUAUGCACCUCUUUCAGAAACAAUAGUAUCAUCGUUCCUGGCAAAGAAUGCUUCCUUCUUUGGUUACAGCUGUGAAGACAGGUUUUGUACUUAGAUGGAAAAAUAAGGAAAUGGAUUCCUCAGUUGGUAUAGUCUCCAUUUUUGGAAUCCCCUAAAAGCAUUAGACUUGCCACCAACUAAAAGGAAAGGAAACAUAAUAAAGUUUUCAAUAAGGUUUAUGUCCUUUAAAAUGGGAAACAAAGUGCCCCUUGUAGUAGCUGGAACUUAUGUAGCAUACCGUGAGCAAAAUUAGAAUUUCCUAUAUGCCCCUUGCGCUGGCCAAGCAUUUAACAGGCAGCACACGCGGGUGAUGAUAGAUCUCUCCAUUCCUCUGAGUAUGGCUCAAUGACGUGGGAUUAAAGGUUUACCUUGAAGAGUAUGUGAGGGUUAGGAUAGAAGAAGAGGCCUGGGAGCUGAGAGGGAGGAAGCUGAAGCAAAUGGUUCAUUGGCCGUUGUAACCCAGCAGAUCAGCCUGUAAAAGGUUAUUAAAGCCACUGUAGAUUUGAAGCCUUGUGUGGCCUUUAGUUCCUCUUAUCUCAACCACCGGACCUCUACCUGGUCAUGGCUCAGCAGGAUAGUUAGUCUGCAUGGACCUCGUGCUGUCACACUGAGAUCACUAGAGGUAUCCAAGUUAGCUACUCUUCAUAUACUUGAGGUAUACGCAUAAUCAAAAUAUGCAGUGUAGCACAGAUGAGCACUGGUUUUGUAGCCUGCUCAGAAAUGAAAUUCUUACAGCGAGAAUUUCAUUUGCAUAAGGAGUAUCAUGGUUUUUUCCUUCCAGUACUGAUAUCUUGUGUUGCAGUUAGCUCCCAAAGGGAUGGAGGAGUGUCUCGAUACAGGCAAAUUUAAAUGUUUGGAAAAAACUUAAAUGAAAC